rnacentral:lncRNA from 1 species
CUCUCUGCUCUUUGCCCUCUGAGGAUUUAAGAAGUAGGCAGUCUGUAACCUGAAGAGGGUUCUCACCAGAAUCUGACCAUGCUGGUGCUCUGAUAGACUUCUAGCCUCUGGAACUAAAAGAAGAAAUUCCUUUUGUGUUUGACAGAUUUCUCAAGGAACAGGCUGACCACAGGCGGGAAACACACCUACAAGAUAUCCAUCACAGUUGACAGAAGAAUGGAACAAUGUUGUGCCUAGAGCCCAUCGUGCCUGGACCCCAACAUCCCUGGACCCUGCCCUCCUCAUUGCCCAUUUUCCUUGUAUAAUUGCCUCAAGAUUCUGUAAAUCUUGAAGAUGGGUUUUGAGACAUCAGUCACGGUCUUCCAAUUAACCAGCUAACCUAGUUAAACUUUCUUUCUCCAUCUCUAACGUCAUUAAUUUGCUCAGAUCACAGCAAGAAGAGGGAGCCCAUUGCUCAGUAUCAGUAACAAAAAAGAUUUGUAGGAGUACAAUGUAGAGAAAUAGGCACAAAGAAAAGCAAUAGCUUAAAAAUGAUAAUGUUAUUUGACUUGAUAUGUCAAUUGUUUAAUCUGGUUAGUUUACCAGUCACAUUUAUCUCUUCAGUUUUUAAUUAUAGAAGUAAGAGUUCUAAAUUUUCCUACCUAAAUCUUUUUGAUUCAUCUUUUAAUCUAAACACAUGGUUUUCUGAGUAAGUUAAGCUUACAUCUUCAGAGAUAUGUGGGUCACAUGCAACUAUGGAAUGCAUUGCCUAUUUCAAACUUAAAGAUCUAAUACAUUUUCUAUACUUUCUCCAGGAGUUUUGGGUCCUUCUAAAUAAACUUAAAAAAAAAUUUACUGCUAGUUUUAUGACAUGACUCUAUUUCAUACAAAUUCUGUAUUGAAUUGUCAAAUCAUUUCAAAUGAUGUAAAUAAGCAACACAUUCAAAGAUAACAUAUAUUAGGUAGUUUUAGUCUUUUACUUAUAUUUAGACAAACUUAGACUCUACCCUACUAGAAAAGAAGAAUGAACACAAGUCAGAAAAAAUUAAUUAAAAUCCAUGGAGUGGAAGGCAGUCUUCACUGACUGGGAAGACACGGGAUAAAUCCAGAGAAAGGGGUAGAGCAAGGGUAGUGAUGUCCUUCAUUGAAAGUGGUGGAUUUUAACCUCAAUUAAAUGAAAGAUCCCAAAAUCAACAGAUCUCUCACCUUGGGACUAGGAUACUUCCCCAGUAGCAUGAAUCCUUUUAAAAUUGCAGCGUUUAAAUAGAGUGGAAAAUUAAUAUUAAUCUUUUAGACAAAGUCUUAGAUUCCCUAAAUCCUCUGAAAAGCCAUCAUGAAGUACCUGUACCUUCUGAAAUGGGUUGUUGUAGGAUUCAGAGGAAAGAGCAUUUGCCGAACAGCAUUGUAGCAAAGAUUAGUGAUAAUGGGGAGCCAAUCAUCAAGUAGCAGCGAUCAUUAAUUGCCUUCUUGAUUUGCCCAGAAUUUGUGAUCUAAAGGUCCAUUUUCACAUGGUCAUUGUUUCUUUCUAAAUGUUAUUUAACAUAUUUAUUUUAGAUUCUGCUAGCUAGAGUUAGGCAAACUUUUAAUAAGCCCAGAUAAGAAAAGUCUAACAGAAGAAUUCCUCUGUAGCACUUCUGGCUAAUUUCCCUCAACCUCUGCUUUCUUUUCCUGUCCUCACAGUCAGUUCAUUCCCUCCCAGCUCUGCCCUGUAAAUUUGAAGCACUUUUAUCUGAAGCUGUCAACCCAGCCCUUCAAAGAUUAUUCCAAACUAGUCAGCCUUAUCUAUAGGGAGGGGCAGGGAGUGGCCUGGAGCACUAAUACAGUUUUCAAUGGGCUCUCGAACAGGAUGAUAGUAUUAGCCUGUAAUGAGAGGAAAAGAGUCUUGUCAAACGUACUCCAAUUAAAUGUUAGUCUUCCCUCAGGAAGUGCUUCUUUCUACUGGGAAUUUACUAAUGUUUGGUAACUUUACUCCUCAGGCUAACACUGGAUUUUUCAGACAUGCCAGAAGAGAGUAGAUCCAAAGGAAGAUGUCCUUUCCUGUCCUGUCAGGAUGGAGAAAUUCACUGCCAACACAAGUCAGAUUGUGCUCAGGCCGGCCUUCAUCGUAAAUGAUCCUAAGAAAAGAGAAAGCUCAAGCUGUUGUCUCAGCCUCCAGAGAACCAGUCAUUACACUGGCCUAGCCAUCUUCUUGGACCCAGUACACCCCCCUGGGUAGUGAGGGACUGCAGUUAAAUUUAUUCACAAUUGGCCAGUUUUACACUCCUGAUUUUAAAAUAUUUAAACAGACAUAGAAUUUCUAACCCCCCCCCAAAAAAUACUUCUAGAAUUUAUUAGACUUCCACAGAACUUUGUGGAUUUCCACCAACACAGUUAUAAAUGAUUUUAAAAUGUAUUUUAAAUAUGUGACCGUAUCUUUUCAUUUGCUCAGGAUUGCCUGUUUAGGGAAAGCCAGUUUCGAUCAAACAUUUCACCCUCAUCUUUUUUUUUUCUUAGCACCUGGAGGCCACUGUCCUUAUAAAUUGCUAGUUUCAUUCCUCUUAAAAUACAACUGAAGUGAAACAUAGCCUAUUUUCUUUAUGUGAUGGCACUAAUACAAGUUGCAA